GCAGAGAGGUCACACCCGUUCCCAUACCGAACACGGAAGUUAAGCUCUCUAGCGCC
rnacentral:rRNA from 1 species